rnacentral:misc_RNA from 1 species
GGCCCUCGCGCAACGCUGAAGAGGGCCGCGAGUACGGGUCC